UUCAUGCACUUGAACUGAUUAUGUGUGUCGGACUGAAAUGUCCCAGUGGUGCCACAAAGGAAAAGAACAUGGUAAUCUUCCGUGGAUUCCGUUUUCCAGAUGCACAGCAGCAGAAGACCCACUGAGAUCAGCCACGGACUAAGCUUGCAGCUGAGGCUCAACCCUGCCUGUGACUGCAGCCCUCCUUUUCUCUGCUGCGCUCUGGAGACCCACGUACAACACUGGAAAGUCAGAACCCCCGAGAGAAGAGGUCUUUCCAUGCUCUCCCAGCAACCCCAUCUCCUAUGUCCUGCCUGGGACUAGGCCCACAGCUGCUAGGUCAGCGAUUCUCAGCUUUGUUGGAAAUCUCACAUCCCUCUGAGGUUGGACGGGAGGUGUGGACGCUCUCCCCCCAAAAAGAAGCAUCUGGCUCUUCACAUAAAUAAGUAUUUGCUCAAAAUGUCAUGGUGUUUUCAGGCUCUCCUAGACAAGCAAUCUGGAUUCUCCUCUUUCAUUUCCUGCUACUUCUUACUCAAGAACCUUCAGUGGCUCUCCACUAUCAAUAAAAGGUAUUCCUUAACCCAGUGCUUAAGCGUGCGUGACCUGACUGCCACCUGUCUGUAAAUGAAAGGGACAACACAUGCAAAGCAUAGUACUUGGUGCCUGUGAACACUGAGGGAGUGUCCGCUAUUGUUAUUGCCACUGUCCUUUGCUUCUAUCUACUGAAUUUCUCCCUCAUCCCCAUGUUCUUUCUUGAGUUUUGCUUCUGCUCUUU
rnacentral:lncRNA from 1 species